rnacentral:rRNA from 1 species
GACGAACGCUGGCGGCGUGCUUAACACAUGCAAGUCGAACGGAAAGGCCCUGCUUUUGUGGGGUGCUCGAGUGGCGAACGGGUGAGUAACACGUGAGUAACCUGCCCUUGACUUUGGGAUAACUUCAGGAAACUGGGGCUAAUACCGGAUAGGAGCUCCUGCUGCAUGGUGGGGGUUGGAAAGUUUCGGCGGUUGGGGAUGGACUCGCGGCUUAUCAGCUUGCUGGUGGGGUAGUGGCUUACCAAGGCUUUGACGGGUAGCCGGCCUGAGAGGGUGACCGGCCACAAUGGGACUGAGAUACGGAGCAGAGUCGUACGGGAGGCAGCAGGGGGGAGUAUUGCACAAUGGGCGGAAGCCUGAUGCAGCAACGCCGCGUGCGGAAUGACGGCCUUCGGGUUGUAAACCGCUUUAGCCUGUGACGAAGCGUGAGUGACGGUAAUGGGUAAAGAAGCACCGGCUAACUACGUG